ACACCAACAGAACACAGAUCGAACACCAGUUCGAACGCGUUCGAUGAAUUCAGUUGUGUAGGUACGAUUUCCACACCAACAGAACACAGAUCGAACACCAGUUCGAACGCGUUCGGUGAAUUCAGUUGUGUAGGUACGAUUUACAUACCAACAGUACACAGAUCGAACACUAACCGAUCAGAUCGAACGCGUUCGAUGAAUUCAGUUGUGUAGGUACGAUUUACACACCAACAGAACACAGAUCGAACACCAGUUCGAACGCGUUCGAUAAAUUCAGUCGUAUAGAUACGAUUUCCACACCAACAGCACACGUAUCGAACACUGCUGGACAAAUUCGACGGCGUUCGAGGAAUUGAGUUGUAUGGGUACGAUUUCAACACCAACAGGGUACAUUUUGAUCUCUGACGACCCGUUCGCACGGUGCGAGAAAGAGCGAGAAAGCAAUAUGAUUUUGCACGUUUCAUUACCACAUUUAUGUGUGCCGUCAAACACU